GACGAACGCUGGCGGCGUGCUUAACACAUGCAAGUCGAACGAUGACGACCGAGCUUGCUCGGUCUGAUUAGUGGCGAACGGGUGAGUAACACGUGAGCAACCUGCCCUUCACUCUGGGAUAACCUCGGGAAAUCGGGGCUAAUACCGGAUAUGAGCUCCUGUCGCAUGGCGGGUGUUGGAAAGUUUUUCGGUGAAGGAUGGGCUCGCGGCCUAUCAGUUUGUUGGUGAGGUAGUGGCUCACCAAGGCGAUGACGGGUAGCCGGCCUGAGAGGGGGACCGGCCACACUGGGACUGAGACACGGCCCAGACUCCUACGGGAGGCAGCAGUGGGGAAUAUUGCACAAUGGGCGAAAGCCUGAUGCAGCGACGCCGCGUGAGGGAUGACGGCCUUCGGGUUGUAAACCUCUUUCAGCAGGGAAGAAGCGAAAGUGACGGUACCUGCAGAAGAAGCGCCGGCUAACUACGU
rnacentral:rRNA from 1 species